UUUUAAAAAAUACAUUUUAAACAUUAUUUUUCAUUGCUUUCAGACAUCUGAAGGCUCAUUCUUAUUGCUUAUAUCUUCUGUUCAAUUAAAAUAUUUCAUAAUUAUAAUCAAUGAGGUGAUCUGGUCAACUCUUACAAUGGAUGAUCUGGUAUAACCAAAAUAUAAAAACAUAUUAUUUUACUUACACAAUUUCUUCUCUUUCUAUCAUGUUUUCUCCUUACUAUGCCCAUAUUUUAAUGAAGAUUAUUACUAUGAGCUGCCUAAGGAGCUCAAGAUUCAAAAGCUUUUGAAUAUUUCUCAUUGAUUUUCUCAAGACUAUUUAUGAAAGAAGUUAAAUUGGCAGUUAAUAAAAUUAACUGAAAUUCAUUUAAAUCCUCAAAAGGAAUUAAUGUGAUUGAAAUGUUACAUUGAUUACUAUUUCCUGCCCUUUAAUUUUGUGAGUUUUUUAAUUUUGUUUUGUUUUCUUAGGUAACUUGGUUAAGUGACUUGUCCAGAGUGACACAGUGUUGAGUGUCUGAGGCUGGAUUUGAAUUCAGGUUAUCCUGAUUUCUGGGCUUAUGUUCUACCCAGUUCACCAUUUAGCUGAUCCCUGCCCUUAAAUUUGAGGUUUAAUUAAGCAACUUAGACCCAGAAAAACAGGAAAGUAUAGCAAAAUCAGCUAAUUUCCCAUAAUAUUAGAAAUAAAGGGGGGAGUGGUUUACUCUGAUAGCCUUUGAGGGACCUAGAAAAACAGGAGAGAUGAGAGAAAAUACAUGAGACACUGAAGGCAGGAUCAAAGAAAGAGAGGCUACCCAAGGGAUGCAAAAAAUAUCGGUUCUCUUCUUGCCAUGGAAUUACUGACUUCAUGUAAAACUAAACAUUUUUCCUUGAAAUUUCUUUGUAUGUAGGUAAUACACAGGAUGGCCAAGUAAUAGAAGGCCUGCCUUCGGAUUCAAGAAGUCCUGAAUUAAAGCUCUGACAUUUGCUUAUAGUGAGAUGAGGAAGAAAUAAACUAAAAACUGUGACCAACUCUCUCAAACUGUAACCUUUGGAGCACAUGAUGACCUGCAGGAAACUACUUCACCAAAAACUGGCCUAUACCAAUUAAAUAACAGAUCUGGAACCUAGCAGAAGACAGAGUUAUAAGAGUAAAAGAAUACUGGAUUUUUAUCAGAGAUUGAUUCUACUCAAACUUUUCACUUUACUGAUGAAGAAAGUAGACCCAAGAGAUUAAAUGACUUUUCUACAUUUAUUUCUGAGCUGAAAUUUUCCCAAAGUGAACAACAGAGUUUUAUUCUGCAUGUCUAAUAAAAGUAUAUUUGCAUUUUCUAA